AAAAUUUUGAGUUAAAGAUUUUGGAAUGAUUUGAAAGAUUAAUUGUAAAAUUAAUUUUGCGGUGGGAUAUAUUUCAUCCAUGUUUCACUUCUCAUGAUAUAAUGCUAUAAAUGUGUUUUUGUAACAAAAAAUCAAUCCUUGAUGUUCGGUGGAUUAAAUUAUUUGUUGAUUUAAUAAGGUAGUACCUUCGUCUUUUAUUAUAAGUCGCUUUGCAAAAAUAUUUUGUACCACAAUAUAAGUUGUUUUAUAAUAUCAAUGAAUGAUUAAUGUUAUUUUCCCUAUUAUAC
rnacentral:lncRNA from 1 species